GUUUGUUUAUUUUUUUAUUUUAUAACUCUUGGCUGCAUGUAUAUCUCUGUAACACAUGAGUACAGGCUCCAUGAGAGUCAAAAGAUGGUGUUACAUUCCAUGGAAAAUGAAGGUACAAAAGGUUGUGAGUUGCCAUGUGGAUGCAAGGAACUGAACCUGAGUCCCCUACAAGACCAGUGAAUGUUCUUAACCUUUGUGUUAUCUCUCCAGCCCCCAUGUACACUUUAUUUCUUUCCAACUUAACACCCAGUAAGAAUAAUUUGCCCCUCAAUUUCUUCUUCUCUUUGAACAGAUAUGUAUGAAGCACUUAGCAUCUGCCCAGUGUGCACCAGAUUCUGAGGACCCAUGGAGACCAUGACACAGUGAAAGCAUCCUAAGUAGCUAACUGCACUUCAUCAGGCUGUUAGAGCAGCAUGGCAGAUACAAGAGGAACCUGAGAAAUUGCUUGCCAAUCUAUCUAGCUGAAAUGGUCAACUCUGGCGAGAGGUCCUAUCUCAAAAAUACGGUAGAAGGGAAAUGGGAUGGCAUAGCUGGUAAUAGGUGCUUCCUAAGCAAGCCUGACAGCACAUAAAGUGGUGAUAUCGACUGCGCAAUCACUAUACCUGUGGGAGAGUGAAAGAAACCCUGGUUCCUGGGUUGAGGAGAUUUGAACUCCGGAGACCCUGAAAAAGACGAUAGAAGCUUUGCCAGACUCCCAGGAAACCAGGCCAGU
rnacentral:sRNA from 1 species